rnacentral:lncRNA from 1 species
UCGAACUCCUGACCUCAGGUGAUCCGCCCGACUCGGCCUCACAAAGUGCUGGGAUUACAGGCGUGAGCCACCGCACCUGGCCCAUUUUGGUAGUUUAAUAACCACACACGCAGGACCAUCUAGGGCAAGUUCUGAGUUUGGGGGCUCCCUUGUGUAGUUCCUUCUUUUUGAAUCUGUGCUGAGGAUGAUUUUCUUUAGAUCGUGGCAGAAGUGGUACUAUGCUCAUUGCAGGCCUCAGUCUUAAGAAGUCCUAAUGACCUCUUCUUUUGUACUCUUGGGAAUCUUAAGCUGCCAUGUAAGAAGUUUGGUUGCCACUGAAGAGAUCACAUGGCAAAUCCACAUGAGGAGAAGCCCUGAGAUUACAUGGAAUGAGAGAGAGAGAGAGAUAGAGGAGAGGAGAGAGGAGAGAGAGGAGGGUAGGGGAGGAGGGAGAGAUCAAAUUGGCUGAAAACAAUAGCUGACCCCAGGCCCAGCUUUCCUGUAGCUAAAUGCAGCCACAAAAGUGACCACUGUAAAGACCAGCAGAAGAACUGCUCAGUUGAGCCCCAAACCAGAUUCCAGAACUGUGAGAAAAUGGAAUGAUUGUCAUUUUAAGCCACUAAAUUUGGGGGCGGUUUGUUAUGCAGCAAUAGCUAACCAAAUAGAAGUUAGCUCUCAGAUGUGGUUUCUUCUGUAACAAGAACACAAAGCUAGUGGCCAUGGCUUUUGGCCUGGGUGGUGAGUAGAAGCUGGAGGAGGCUCCAGGAGACUUAGUGAAGGCUGGAAGGGCAGUGAGCAGUUGGUAUUAGAGUCUGGAGAAAAAACAAUCUGUGUCAUGUAGUGGUUGAAAGUUUGGCAACAUGUUGACUAUAAAAGAUAGCAAAUGUGUCUAAAGAACUUGGGGAUCUGACUAAGAGACUAUUUCCAGACAGAACGUUGAAAGUGCUAACUGUCUUCUUUUAGCUGUGCCUGAUAAGGCACAAAUAGAGAGAGAAGGAUAAAAAAUAAAAGUGUCAACACAGGAAAACUUUCCAACCCAGGACUUACUGAGUUGGAAAAUAAAACUCUCUCCCCUUGCAGCUUUUCCAGUCUGCAAAAGGUUCCCAAAUGGCCUUGGGGGAAGAAAGAUCAAAUCUAAGAUGCUACCAGUAAAAUGGAACAUGUGAGUCAAGAUCAAGUCACAGGCCGGGCGUGGUGGCUCACACCAAAAUGCUGGUAAUCCCAGCAUUUUGGGAGGCCGAGGUGGGUGGAUCACGAGGUCAGGAGUUCAAGACCAACCUGACCAAGAUGGUGAAACCCCGUCUCCACUAAAAAUACCAAAAAAUUAGCCGGGCGUGCUGGUGGGUGCCUGUAGUCACAGCUACUCAGGAGGCUGAGGCAGAGAAUUGCUUGAACCUGGGAGGCAGAGGUUGCAGUGAGCCGAUAUCACACCACUGCACUCCAGCCUAGGUGACAGAGUGAGACUCCAUCUCAAAAAAAAAUAAAAAAUAAAAAAAUAAAAAAAAUAAAAGAUCAAGUCACAAGUGUGGCUAUAAGACCCUUUGUUAAGACCCCAGAAAGAUUAGCAGUAGAACCUCCUAGAACCUCAGCACUAGAUAAAAGUGUUUCCAAGAAUCUAAAGGACAUCUUCUCAUAGUACUCUGACCCAAAGUAUAAAGAGGUCUGUCACAAAGAGAUUUGUGAGUAUAGCUCUUAUCUAAUGGCAUGAAACCUAAUAAGACUUAUAGGAAUCCUACAUAGUCUUGAAGAGAACUAUAUUAGCAGAAACACAGAGUUGUACUAAAAGAAACAGCUCUGCGGCCAUAAAAAAGAAUGAGUUCAUGUCCUUUGCAGGGACAUGGAUGAAGCUGGAAGCCAUCAUUCUCAGCAAACUAACACAGGAACAGAAAACCAAACACCGCAUGUUCUCACUCAUAAAUGGGAGCUGAACGAUGAGAACACAUGGACACAGGGAGGGGAACAUGACAUACUGGGGCCUAUCAGGGGGUGGGGGGCAAGGGGAGGGAGAGCAUUAGGACAAAUAGCUAAUGCAUGCAUGGCUUAAAACCUAGAUGACAGGUUGAUAGGUGCAGCAAACCACCAUGGCACAUGUAUACCUGUGUAAAAAAUCUGCACGUUCUGCACAAGUAUCCCAGAACUUAAAGUAAAAUAAAUUAAAAAAAAAAGGAAAGAAAAGAAACAGCUCAACUUGAAAAGAGGCCUCUGGACUCUUUCUAAAGGCAGGAAACAGGAUGAGAAAGCUAUUCACCUACAGACACUGGCCAUCCCUUAUGGGAAAAGAAGAAAUAGUCAGAAAGCAGAGUAAGGAACCAUGAAGAACCACUCCCUAGGAACAUAACUGUCCCUGGAGCAGGGGUAAUUGGUGAUAUAUGCCUGUCUGGACUUCAGAAUUGCUGUGGACUGGCAAGUCCUGCAUUCCUUCCAUUCUCCUUCAUUUAGAUGAGAGUCUGCUGUGAUUAUUGUAUGCUGGUCUCACUGGUAUAUGGGGCGAAACAAUUUGUCUUCAGAUCUAGAAGAAAUAUACCCAAGGAGUCUUAUCUACACCUGGACUUGGUUUAGAUGACAAGAUCUUGAACCUUGAGCCAGACUGCUGCUGUAAUAUGGCAAUGGAGAAUCACCAGAUAAUUUUGCAUGGGGCAAUGACAUGGUUAUAUUUCCAUGUGAUGUCUUAUUUGGCUUGGAAAUCAGGUGCUGCUUCCCAGAGGAGGUAUCAGUUAACCUAGGACUGAAAGGAUGGAUUGGAUGUCACCCAGGGACGAAGCGACUGUGACAAGAUACAAGCACAGGGAUCCCAUGAGCUUGGCAGGAGUGUGUGAUCUCACUGCAUAGGUACAGACACAGCACUAAUGGAGGCUGAGCACAGAUGGCAGAACUGGAGACAAGCUCCCGGGAACCCAGGUCCCUGGGAGGUGGCCCUGGCCUGUGGGGUGAAAACACCAAGUCUGAGGCCAAGAGCAGAGCUGGCAUUUCCCAGGCUACAUGAUGAAGAUGAAGCUGCCUAUCUUUUCUGCUUCCCAUUUUUUUUUCUUUUUCUUAUUUAUUUAUUUUAUUUAUUUAUUUUUUGAGACAGAGUCUCACUCUAUUACCCAGGCUGGAGUGCAGUGAUGUGAUCUUAGCUCACUGCAACCUGUGCCCCCGCGUUCAAGUCAUUUUCAUGCCUCUGCUUCCCAGGUGGCUGGGACUACAGGCACAUGACACCACGGCUAAUUUUUUUUUUUUUAAUGGAGUCUUGCUCUGUCGCCCAGGCUGGAGUGCAAUGGUGCGGUCUUGGCUCA